rnacentral:tRNA from 1 species
GCCCUCUUAGCUCAGCUGGUAGAGCACUUCCAUGGUAAGGAAGGGGUCGUCGGUUCGAGUCCGACAGAGGGCUUCA